UCUAAGUCACACCCAGCCCACACAGCCUUCACCAGAUCGUUUUUAACCAAUUAACUUCUUUGAGCGCCAAUUUUCUCUUCUGUAAAAGGGGGCUGUUGAGGCUGUAUUCAUUUUCUACUGCUGCAUAUCACAUCUGGAGACUGGAACAGUGCCCACUUAUUAUCUCACGGAUCUGGAGGUUCCAGGGAUUCAGGCCAAGACAUCUUCCGAGGCCAUCGUCACCAUUUUGUCUACAACAGGUGAUGUCCUCAGAGAACUUCCUUGAAAAUUAGGGAUAAUGGACACGUGUAAAACCGUAGACAAUCACUUCAGCCAGUGUUAUACAUGAGGACCCUUCUGGUGUAGGGAGCAGAUAAGCAUCUGAGCUACUCGCUGAACCAAGGAUAAGACAAGACUCUGAAUUGUCUAUGCUAAAAUUUUGUUCAAAGUCCAAUCUUCAUUAAAUAACAUAUCACUCUUCUACCUCCCUCCCUUUUUCCAUGAUGAUGACAUCUAACCUACGAGGACUGAUAUGUCGUUUGGAUAAAGAAUUGGGUUAACG